rnacentral:rRNA from 1 species
UACGUAGGUGGCAAGCGUUGUCCGGAUUUACUGGGCGUAAAGCGCACGUAGGCGGCCGAAUAAGUCGGGUGUGAAAGCCCUGGGCUCAACCCAGGAAGUGCACUCGAAACUGUGAAGCUUGAGUAUGGAAGAGGGUCGCGGAAUUCCCGGUGUAGAGGUGAAAUUCGUAGAUAUUCGCAAGGACACCAGUGGCGAAGGCGGCUCACUGGCCCAUAACUGACGCUGAGGCACGGAAAGCGUGGGGAGCAAACAGG